UACGUAGGGUGCAAGCGUUGUCCGGAAUUAUUGGGCGUAAAGAGCUCGUAGGCGGUUUGUCGCGUCUGCUGUGAAAACUCGGGGCUUAACUCCGGGCCUGCAGUGGGUACGGGCAGACUAGAGUGCGGUAGGGGAGACUGGAAUUCCUGGUGUAGCGGUGAAAUGCGCAGAUAUCAGGAGGAACACCAGUGGCGAAGGCGGUGCUCUGGGACGGUACUGACGCUGAGACGCGAAAGCGUGGGGAGCGAACAGG
rnacentral:rRNA from 1 species